GACGAACGCUGGCGGCGUGCUUAACACAUGCAAGUCGUACGGUAAGGCCCUUUCGGGGGUACACGAGUGGCGAACGGGUGAGUAACACGUGAGUAACCUGCCCACAACUUUGGGAUAACGCUAGGAAACUGGUGCUAAUACUGGAUAUGUGCUCCUGCUGCAUGGUGGGGGUUGGAAAGCUCCGGCGGUUGUGGAUGGACUCGCGGCCUAUCAGCUUGUUGGUGGGGUAGUGGCCUACCAAGGCGGCGACGGGUAGCCGGCCUGAGGGGGUGACCGGCCACAUUGGGACUGAGAUACGGCCCAGACUCCUACGGGAGGCAGCAGUGGGGAAGAUUGCACAAUGGGCGCAAGCCUGAUGCAGCAACGCCGCGGGCGGGAUGACGGCCUUCGGGUUGUAAACCGCUUUCAGCAGGGACGAAGCUUUUUGUGACGGUACCUGCAGAAGAAGCACCGGCUAACUACGUG
rnacentral:rRNA from 1 species